AUUGAACGCUGGCGGCAUGCCUUACACAUGCAAGUCGAACGGCAGCACGGGUGCUUGCCCCUGGUGGCGAGUGGCGAACGGGUGAGUAAUACAUCGGAACAUGUCCUGUAGUGGUGGAUAGCCCGGCGAAAGCCGGAUUAAUACCGCAUACGAUCUACGGAUGACAGCGGGGGACCUUCGGGCCUCGCGCUAUUGGUUUGGCCGAUGGCUGAUUAGCUGGUUGGUGGGGUAAAGGCCUACCAAGGCGGCGACCAGUAGCUGGUCUGUGAGGACGACCAGCCACACUGGGACUGAGACACGGCCCAGACUACUCCGGGAGGCAGCAGUGGGGAAUUUUGGACAAUGGGCGAAAGCCUGAUCCAGCAAUGCCGCGUGUGUGAAGAAGGCCUUCGGGUUGUAAAGCACUUUUGUCCGGAAAGAAAUCCUUGGCCCUAAUACGGUCGGGGGAUGACGGUACCGGAAGAAUAAGCACCGGCUAACUACGUG
rnacentral:rRNA from 1 species